CCUACGGGAGGCUGCAGUCGAGAAUCAUUCACAAUGGGGGAAACCCUGAUGGUGCGACGCCGCGUGGGGGAAUGAAGGUCUUCGGAUUGUAAACCCCUGUCAUGUGGGAGCAAAUUAAAAAGAUAGUACCACAAGAGGAAGCGACGGCUAACUCUGUGCCAGCAGCCGCGGUAAUACAGAGGUCUCAAGCGUUGUUCGGCAUCACUGGGCGUAAGGCGUGCGUAGGCUGUUUCGUAAGUCGUGUGUGAAAGGCGCGGGCUCAACCCGCGGACGGCACAUGAUACUGCGAGACUAGAGUAAUGGAGGGGGAACCGGAAUUCUCGGUGUAGCAGUGAAAUGCGUAGAUAGCGAGAGGAACACUCGUGGCGAAGGCGGGUUCCUGGACAUUAACUGACGCUGAGGCACGAAGGCCAGGGGAGCGAAAGGGAUUAGAUACCCCUGGAGUC
rnacentral:rRNA from 1 species